AGAGACGAUUUAUAUGAUAAAUAAGCCGGUGAGAUCAAACUAAUUAAAAUUCCCUCAAGGUUAACAUUAAGUUUAUGCUUUCCGUAUUUUAGAACUCGUCAAGACUAGUGUCAAAUAUUGUGGGUUCGUCCAACGCGAAGUGCAUAUUUUACAUUAGUAAGGCGCGAUGGGAUAAACGUAAUAUCCAAUUUCUAAAAUAU
rnacentral:lncRNA from 1 species